ensembl:snoRNA U3 Small nucleolar RNA U3
AAGGCUAUGCUUUCAGGGAUCAUUUCUCUAGUGGGUGACUGGAGAAGAGUGGUUAUGGAAAGCUGAUCUUGCUAACCACAAUGAGGAAUUGUAGUGUUUCUUUCUGAGCAUGAAAAUGGCAGAGAGUGCUGUUCUAUGGCAGCUGGUUUCUGCUGUGGAGGAGUGUCUUGCUUUUUCUGAGGAAAGCAGGGGAAAGGAACACAGUCUGAGUGGU